AGAUUGAACGCUGGCGGCAUGCCUAACUCAUGCAAGUCGAACGGGAGUAGCAAUACUCUAGUGGCGGACGGGUGAGGAAUACGUAGGAAUUUGCCCUUAAGUGGGGGAUAACCCGGGGAAACCCGGAUUAAUACCGCAUGACCUCGAAGAGCAAAGUGGGGGAUCGCAAGACCUCACGCUUUUGGAGAAGCCUACGUCGAUUAGCUAGUUGGUGAGGUAAUGGCUCACCAAGGCGACGAGUCCGUAACUGGUCUGACGAGGAUGACUCAGUCACACCGGAACUGAGACACGGUCCGACUCCGUACGGGAGGCCAGACCGUAGUCGGGGAAUAGUUGGACAAGU
rnacentral:rRNA from 1 species